UGGGAGUCGUAGUUGCAAGUGUCUGCUCUGGAAGAGAGAUCAGAGGGCAUGGGAGUCAGCCCGCCCCCUAGCUACUUGAGCUUGCGUUUUUUCCGCUUCUCUCUUUCGUUCUCUCACGGGCGGAGCCUUCUGUGAGCACUGCAGGAUUUGUCGGUGCUACCGUCUUUCUUCUGGGUUUCAAUAAAGUUUUCCUUUUGCUCCCCUUGUACGGAGCUCAAGAUGGCGGCCUCCUGGUCGCCCUUGGUUACCCUCCGCUUAGCGCAGAGCCGGUUGAGAGGGAGAUGUGUUGGGUGCAGGGCCUGGGCCGCUGCUCUCGCCCCUCCGGCCACCGCCCCUGGAAACUCUCUCUGUAAAGCCUAUACAGUUCAGACCUCCGAGAGUAUAUCUCCAGCUGCUGCUACAGAGGCUUAUUCAAAAGCUUUGGCUGUUUGCCAUGGACCACUGGACCACUAUGACUUUCUGAUCAAAGCUCGUGAGCUAAAGGAUGAUGAACAUCAAAGAAGAGUCAUACGGUGUUUGCAGAAAUUACAUGAGGACCUUAAAGGAUACAGUAUAGAGGCAGAGGGCCUUUUUUCAAAGCUUUUUUCAAGGAGCAAACCUCCAAGGGGCCUGUAUGUUUAUGGAGAUGUUGGUACAGGGAAAACAAUGGUGAUGGACAUGUUUUAUGCUUAUGUGGAAAUGGAGAAGAAAAAACGGGUUCACUUUCAUGGUUUCAUGCUAGAUGUUCACAAAAGAAUACACCGCCUUAAACAGAGUUUGCCGAAAAGGAAACCAGGAUUCAUGGCUAAAUCAUAUGAUCCGAUAGCUCCCAUAGCUGAAGAAAUCAGUGAAGAAGCAUGUCUCUUAUGUUUUGAUGAAUUUCAGGUCACUGACAUCGCUGAUGCCAUGAUUCUGAAACAGCUUUUUGAAAAUCUGUUCAAAAACGGGGUCGUCGUUGUGGCAACAUCCAACAGGCCACCGGAAGAUCUCUAUAAAAAUGGACUCCAAAGAGCUAACUUUGUACCGUUCAUAGCUGUACUUAAGGAAUACUGUAAUACUGUCCAGCUAGACUCUGGGAUAGAUUAUCGGAAAAGGGAACUUCCUGCUGCAGGAAAACUCUACUACCUCACAAGUGAAGCUGAUGUGGAGGCUGUCAUGGAUAAGUUGUUUGAUGAGCUGGCUCAGAAACAAAAUGAUUUAACUAGACCAAGGAUUCUAAAAGUGCAAGGCAGAGAGCUGCGACUGAAUAAAGCCUGUGGAACCAUUGCCGACUGCACAUUUGAAGAGCUAUGUGAGAGAGGCAAAAGGCAGCCUGGUGGUAACGCUUGUGCCUUUCACACUGGUGUGGCACUGAGAAAAUCCUCGCUCCUGGCACCAGGGUCAAACCAAAGCAGACAGCUGUGCCGUUUCUCAUACAGGAGAAAGAAGACAGCAGCCACUUGGCGCCAGUGACUAUUUGGAAUUGUCAAAGAAUUUUGAUACAGUAUUUUUACGAAACAUUCCACAAUUUACCCUGGCAAAGAGGACCCAUGCUCGGAGAUUCAUAACUCUCAUUGAUAACUUUUAUGAUUUGAAGGUGCGUAUAAUUUGCUCUGCAUCAGCUCCCAUAGCGAGCUUAUUUUUGUAUGAACAUCAUGACAGUGAGUUGGAGCAAAGCAGAAUACUGAUGGAUGAUUUGGGGCUGAGCCAGGACUCAGCGGAAGGACUCGCCAUGUUUACUGGAGAAGAAGAAGUCUUUGCAUUUCAGCGCACAAUUUCCCGACUCACAGAAAUGCAGACUGAACAGUACUGGAAUGAAGGGGACAGAAGCAAGAAGUAAUCAUCACUUUCACAUGAAUAAAACUGGGCAAAUGAUUGCCGCAGGGAGAACUCUUUAUUAUGGGACUUGAAGGAAUCAUUUUCUCAUCAUUAAUUAUGCACUUUGUCCUCUGGACCAUUUUUAUCUAAAAUUGCUGUCAAAGAUGUAGUGGAUUAGUAAGUUAAAGCCAUUUUUAGAUCUACUUUUUACCUAUUUAUUUGGCCUUAUUUCUGCACCACAAAAUUAAAAUCAGCGCUCCUGAAGAUGAAUGCAGGACCAGACAUUUUGGCUUCAUAUUAAGCCACCUGAAUGAACCUUGAAUACACACACUUGGUAAACGCAGGGUGCCUGGACAUCUCCAGCUUUGGCUACAUGGUAGUGGCAUGAUACAAACACAUCUUUUAUGAAUUUAAAGAAAGCUUUCUGAUCUUAUUUUAAACUAAAGUCAAUAACAUUUUAGAAUAUGGACUUAUCUCAUGGAUUGGGGGGUGGGGGCUAUAAACUACACUCUCCUUACAACAGAGAGUAUGUUUUUCACUCUGAGUUCAUAUUUGGCAGGCAGGACUUGAUGUCCAGCAGACAUGCAGUUUCCUGAAAAAAAAAAAAAAAAUCAAGGAUCAUGAUGCCAUAGAAUAAGGAAGAAGGCUGUCAAAUUCCAAUCGACAGGAAGUUUCCCCCAACUCUGACAGCCAGGAGGAGGACAGACACCAGGAAUGGGGACCAAUGAGAGGGUAUCAGGAGAGGCAGAGUCCUGGACAUGCCAAGCAACAGAGUGGACUCCUGCUCAGGUGAGGCCUCGGGACCCCAGGGACCAUGGCUCCUUCCUGCUACUCCCUUGCAUUUGCUCGGGUCACAGGAUGUCACCCCCACCCAUGCCUCAGCUUCUGCAGUACCAUGGGCCCAACAAUAAAGAGGGAAGAACGCCUGAUGAACCUACUUAAAUAAAAUCCAGUUUGUCCUCUAUCAAAGUCUAUCCCUGACUCAUUCAGAUACAACCUGACUUUGCUAACCAUGGUUGCAGAAGGAAUUUUGGUUGAGGCUCUUACAAGAGUAAAUCCCUCUACAAGAAAAGAAAGAGAAAAGAAAAUGUGAAAUCCACAAACUUUUGUGAAAAUCAAAUAUUUGGGGGGAAUAGGCACAGGUGAGUCUGUUCAUAUAAUGAAUACAGUUGUCAACAUAAGUAAGCUCUUUGAACUAUGUAAUUUCUAAGUUAAUAAUCGAUCUCUCUUAGUCUAUAGUUGACAUUAACCUCAGUCAAUCAGAUGGAUAGAUAGGGUCCCCAAGUCCAGAGACACAAUGAAAUCAAGGCUUCUGAAAAUUAAAUGUGAUUUUAAAAUAUUUUUAUUGAAGUUAAACAGUGAGUUCCAAAAAGAGGUUAAAUAGGUUAUGAGAGAGAAAAGAUGGGGAAUAACCACUGUGUGCCAGAAUUAUUGCUGGAUGUUUAUUAAUCUCAGGCAAAAAAUUAUUCCUAGAGAAACAACAUCAUCAUCAUCCCUGUUUAUAGAGAAGAAAACCGAGGCUUGGAAAAGUAGCUUGACCCAAGAUUCAGAGUUUACAAGUACAAAACUCAUGUACUGUGUUUUAUACCACACCACCUCUAUAAAAGUGAGAUCAUUUUAAAUAGUGGUUCUUUUUUGUUUAACUCAGUGAAAAUGAAUUUACAAUAGAACCAUUGCUUUGAACUCAAUAAAUAUAAAAUGUACUGUGCUAAUCAAAUUUGUGCAUUUUCAGUGGGAUUUCAAAUUUUAGUCAUAAGGCAAUUAUUUUCAUUUCCCUGAAUAUAUUUCUGGUACCUACAAGUGUGCAAUAACAUAAUUUUUAAAUUACUUGGAAUUUUGAGAAAAAUUAAAAUAUUAUUUGUAAAAUAUGUAAAUGGAUGUACUCAUAUCCAUUUAUUUAACAUUAUUUAAGAAACGUCAUGCUUUAUAUGUACUGGGCAUGGUUCCAAGUGCUUUAUAAAUAAAAUAUUUUGAUCCUUAUAAUAAUUCUAUUUUACCAUUUGUGGAUGGGAAGCUGAAGCACAGAAAACAGGUACAACUACAUACUGAAUUGCUAAGAUGUACAUGGGAGUUAGUAAAAUGAUCAAAACACUGAUUUAAUAAACUUACAUGUAAUUGCCUC